GCAAGUCGAGCGCACUCUUCGGAGUGAGCGGCGGACGGGUUAGUAACGCGUGGGAACGUGCCCUUCUCUAAGGAAUAGCCACUGGAAACGGUGAGUAAUAACUUAUACGCCCUUCGGGGGAAAGAUUUAUCGGAGAAGGAUGGGCCCGCGUUAGAUUAGAUAGUUGGUGGGGUAAUGGCCUACCAAGGCUACGAUGUAUAGCUGGUCUGAGAGGAUGAUC
rnacentral:rRNA from 1 species